UUUUGGACAUGGGGGGCAAGCCUGAUCCAGCAAUGCCGCGUGAGUGAAGAAGGCCUUCGGGUUGUAAAGCUCUUUUGUCAGGGAAGAAACGGUGAGCUUUAAUACAGUUUGAUAAUGACGGUACCUGAAGAAUAAGCACCGGCUAACUUCGUGCCAGCAGCCGCGGUAAUACGUAGGGUGCAAGCGUUAAUCGGAAUUACUGGGCGUAAAGCGUGCGCAGGCGGUUAUGUAAGUCAGAUGUGAAAUCCCCGGGCUCAACCUGGGAAUGGCAUUUGAGACUGCAUGGCUAGAGUGUGUCAGAGGGGGGUAGAAUUCCACGUGUAGCAGUGAAAUUCGUAGAGAUGGGGAGGAAUACCGAUGGCGAAGGCAGCCCCCUGGGAUAACACUACGCUCAUGCACGAA
rnacentral:rRNA from 1 species